rnacentral:rRNA from 1 species
GAUGAACGCUGGCGGCGUGCUUAACACAUGCAAGUCGAACGGCAGCACGGGGCAACCUGGUGGCGAGUGGCGAACGGGUGAGUAAUGCAUCGGAACGUACCUUUCAGUGGGGGAUAACGUAGCGAAAGUUACGCUAAUACCGCAUAUUCUGUGAGCAGGAAAGCAGGGGAUCGCAAGACCUUGCGCUGAUUGAGCGGCCGAUGUCAGAUUAGCUAGUUGGUGAGGUAAAGGCUCACCAAGGCGACGAUCUGUAGCGGGUCUGAGAGGAUGAUCAGCCACACUGGAACUGAGACACGGUCCAGACUCCUACGGGAGGCAGCAGUGGGGAAUUUUGGACAAUGGGGGCAACCCUGAUCCAGCCAUGCCGCGUGAGUGAAGAAGGCCUUCGGGUUGUAAAGCUCUUUCGGCCGGGAAAAAAUCGCAUGGGUUAAUACCCUGUGUGGAUGAUGGUACCGGAAUAAGAAGCACCGGCUAACUACGUGCCAGCAGCCGCGGUAACAC